UUUUCUUCUUUUUUCACCAUGAUUUUUUUUCAAAUCAAUGUUUCGGAAGCAACCAACCUCCAUUUUUGCAGAUAGAGAACUUCAAAACUCUGGUCAGGGAAAGAAACCCAUGGAAGCAUGAUCUAGACAAGUUUGAGCGCUUCAAUCCAUCAGGCUACCCACAACAGUCAACAACGUAGUGUUUUCCGCGAUUAGACAUUAUUUAGUGCAACUUUUUAUUUCAUAUAUGUGAUCUCAUUUUUCUCCAAUUUUUCCCCUGGCAGAUUUGAUUGCGGCUUGUUUGCUAUUCUAUAC
rnacentral:lncRNA from 1 species